rnacentral:rRNA from 1 species
GAACACCAGUGGCGAAGGCGCCUUCCUGGNCCAGUAUUGACGCUGAGGCNCGAAAGCGUGGGGANCAAACAGGAUUAGAUACCCUGGUAGUCCACGCNGUAAACGAUGAAUACUAGAUGUUGGGNGAUUUGACCCCUGCAUGUGUCANCUCNCACGCG